rnacentral:rRNA from 1 species
CUUUCGUAGGGGGGGCCUGCGGAGGGAUCAUUACCGAGUUAUACAACUCAUCAACCCUGUGAACAUACCUAAAACGUUGCUUCGGCGGGAACAGACGGCCCUGUAACAACGGGCCGCCCCCGCCAGAGGACCCCUAACUCUGUUUUUAUAAUGUUUUUCUGAGUAAACAAGCAAAUAAAUUAAAACUUUCAACAACGGAUCUCUUGGCUCUGGCAUCGAUGAAGAACGCAGCGAAAUGCGAUAAGUAAUGUGAAUUGCAGAAUUCAGUGAAUCAUCGAAUCUUUGAACGCACAUUGCGCCCGCCAGUAUUCUGGCGGGCAUGCCUGUUCGAGCGUCAUUACAACCCUCAGGCCCCCGGGCCUGGCGUUGGGGAUCGGCGGAAGCCCCCUGUGGGCACACGCCGUCCCUCAAAUACAGUGGCGGUCCCGCCGCAGCUUCCAUUGCGUAGUAGCUAACACCUCGCAACUGGAGAGCGGCGCGGCCAUGCCGUAAAACACCCAACUUCUGAAUGUUGACCUCGAAUCAGGUAGGAAUACCCGCUGAACUUAAGCAUAUCAAA